GAUAGUUAAGCUUUUACUUUCUUAACUUUUCCCAUUCAUUCUCUAUGGUAGUUCUUAACACUACGGAUGCAAUAUGCUUUUGUCCACUACGCAUUUUGGCGCUGUUGCGCUGUUGAGCUGCUUUUUAAAAAUAUUGGCAGCCAUCUUUGAAUCAUUUGUUGUGGUCGGCGUUACUGAUGACAGAUAUCGGACUGACUUUUUACUCUCAGAAAGUUGCGUCUGUGUCCCCCUUUAGGUUUGAGCCCUCGUCCUCCCAACUGACCCUGUGGCUCUCCGCUGCAGCAGAACUGGCCCUUGAGUACCGCCAGAAGGGGACCACUACCUAAAAGAUCAAGAGGGUGGACAGGGUGUGCAUGGAGGCAAGGGACACAGUGGCACUGAAAGGAGGCGACCCCAGAGCGUGAUGUGCGCAGGCUGAUGGGUCGGGCGCCGAUAUAGCUGUGUGAGCUAAAUCAAAGGGUACUCUCCCAAUGGUCCGUCAGAACACAGAGGGAGACAGAGAGGACUGUGGUGGCACCUUGACCAGGCACUGCAGACGGGCUCAGCGGGGGCGACCCAGAACCCAGCAGCAUCGGCAACGUAUCGUUCAGCAGCAGUGGACCCACAGCCCAGCAGCAGUGGCGGUGUAUCGUCUGACAGCAGCGGCCGGUUCAGCAGUGGCGGUGUAUCGUCUGACAGCAGCCGACCCAGGGCCCAGCAGCAUCGGCAGUGUAUCGUACAACAUUAGCUGACCCAGGGCCCAGCAGCAUCAGCAGUGACAGCAGCGCACCCAGGAUCCAGCAGCAAUGACGCUGUAUCAGCAGCGGACCCAGGGCCACCAGCAGUGUCAGUGUAUCGCCCAGCAACAGCUGACCCAGGGCCAGCAGCAGUGUCUAACAGGCUUGUGCAAAAUUCCAGAAUGGAAUUGAAACUGGCUCUUAAAUUCCAAUUUAAUUCUUGAAUUUCACUUUCAAAUUCUUGAAUUUCACUUUCAAAUGAGGUAGCAAACAGGAAGCAGAAUUGCAAUUCGAAUUGUGCACAACCCUGGUGUCUGAGUGUAUCAUCCAGCAGCAGCCGACCCACACACACGCACACAGGCACACACACACACACUUUGCCUUCUUCAGCUGGUGUUCAUUUAGUCAUAGUAUGCUGUUCUCCAAUGUUCUGUAAUUUUUUGUAUCACUUAAUAUAAUCCUUAAUAUAGUCUUACCAUGUCAUUGUUUUUUUUAUAUUAUUGAUUGAAUGGACAUUAUUGUUUAUUUUCGCUUUUCCCCUCAUUUUCAUUACUUAUUUUAUUAGGCUAUUGAUUGAAUUGGCAUUGUUGUUUAGUAUUGUUAUUCUCCUUAUUAUAGUUUGACCAACAUUCUAAUCUGUUCCCUGUUAAAUUUAAAAUAUUAUGUUGUUUAUGUGUGUGUGUGUGUGUCGCUUUGGACAAAGGCGUCUGCAAAAUCCCAUAAC